rnacentral:rRNA from 1 species
AUUGAACGCUGGCGGCAGGCUUAACACAUGCAAGUCGAACGGUAACAUAAAGAAGCUUGCUUCUUUGAUGACGAGUGGCGGACGGGUGAGUAAUGCUUGGGAAUCUAGCUUAUGGAGGGGGAUAACUACGGGAAACUGUAGCUAAUACCGCGUAAUAUCGAAAGAUUAAAGUGUGGGACCUUCGGGCCACAUGCCAUAAGAUGGGCCCAAGUGGGAUUAGGUAGUUGGUGAGGUAAAGGCUCACCAAGCCGACGAUCUCUAGCUGGUCUGAGAGGAUGACCAGCCACACUGGGACUGAGACACGGCCCAGACUCCUACGGGAGGCAGCAGUGGGGAAUAUUGCGCAAUGGGGGCAACCCUGACGCAGCCAUGCCGCGUGAAUGAAGAAGGCCUUCGGGUUGUAAAGUUCUUUCGGUAGCGAGGAAGGCAUUUAGUUUAAUAGACUAGGUGAUUGACGUUAACUACAGAAGAAGCACCGGCUAACUCCGUGCCAGCAGCCGCGGUAAUACGGAGGGUGCGAGCGUUAAUCGGAAUAACUGGGCGUAAAGGGCACGCAGGCGGUGACUUAAGUGAGGUGUGAAAGCCCCGGGCUUAACCUGGGAAUUGCAUUUCAUACUGGGUAACUAGAGUACUUUAGGGAGGGGUAGAAUUCCACGUGUAGCGGUGAAAUGCGUAGAGAUGUGGAGGAAUACCGAAGGCGAAGGCAGCCCCUUGGGAAUGUACUGACGCUCAUGUGCGAAAGCGUGGGGAGCAAACAGG